rnacentral:tRNA from 1 species
GGGCGGAUGGCGGAAUUGGCAUACGCGCUGGCCUCAGGAGCCAGUGAGAGCAAUCUCUUGAGGGUUCGACUCCCUCUCCGCCCA